AACGGUCUAUACCUGCGGUACCUGCGGAAGGAUCAUUAGUGAAUGAACUUGGUCAGGUUGUUGCUGGCCCUUUGGGGCAUGUGCACACCUCGACUCUCGUUUCCAUCUCCCAUGUGCACUUUCUGUAGACUCGGAAGAACUCGAGAGAGUGAUCUCGACAGUUUUGUGGGAUUGCUGCUGCUUUCUCAUGUGAAAGCCAGCUCUCCCGUUGUAUUCCAGUCUAUGUUUUCUUUCAUAUAC
rnacentral:misc_RNA from 1 species